UGAGGAAUAUUGGGCAAUGCCCGCAAGGGUGACCCAGCAACGCCGCGUGGAGGAUGAAUGUCGUAAGAUUGUAAACUCCUGUUAGAGGGGAAGAAUAGUACCGGUUGGACCGGUAUAUGACUGUACCCUCAGAGAAAGCCCCGGCUAACUACGUGCCAGCAGCCGCGGUAAUACGUAGGGGGCAAGCGUUGUCCGGAUUUACUGGGUGUAAAGGGCGCGCAGGCGGGAUAAAAAGUCAGUGGUGAAAUCCUACAGCUUAACUGUAGAACUGCCUUUGAUACUUUUAUUUUUGAGUUCGGGAGAGAGAGACGGAAUUCCAGGUGUAGUGGUGAAAUACGUAGAUAUCUGGAAGAACACCAGUUGCGAAGGCGGUCUCUUGGUCCGACACUGACGCUGAGGCUCGAAAGCGUGG
rnacentral:rRNA from 1 species